rnacentral:rRNA from 1 species
UACGGGGGGAGCAAGCGUUGUUCGGAUUUACUGGGCGUAAAGCGCACGUAGGCGGACUUUCAAGUCAGGGGUGAAAUCCCGGGGCUCAACCUCGGAAUUGCCUUUGAUACUGUAAGUCUCGAGUCCGGAAGAGGUGGGUGGAAUUCCUAGUGUAGAGGUGAAAUUCGUAGAUAUUAGGAAGAACACCGGUGGCGAAGGCGGCCCACUGGUCCGGUACUGACGCUGAGAUGCGAAAGCGUGGGGAGCAAACAGG